GUUGGGUAGGGGAGCGUUCUGUAAGCCUGUGAAGGUGUGUCGUGAGGCAUGCUGGAGGUAUCAGAAGUGCGAAUGCUGACAUAAGUAACGAUAAAGCGGGUGAAAAGCCCGCUCGCCGGAAGACCAAGGGUUCCUGUCCAACGUUAAUCGGGGCAGGGUGAGUCGACCCCUAAGGCGAGGCCGAAAGGCGUAGUCGAUGGGAAACGGGUUAAUAUUCCCGUACUUGGUGUUACUGCGAAGGGGGGACGGAGAAGGCUAUGUUGGCCGGGCGACGGUUGUCCCGGUUUAAGCGUGUAGGUGUGUGUUCCAGGUAAAUCCGGUUCACUUUAACACUGAGGCGUGACGACGAGGCACUACGGUGCUGAAGCAACAAAUGCCCUGCUUCCAGGAAAAGCCUCUAAGCAUCAGGUAACAUCAAAUCGUACCCCAAACCGACACAGGUGGUCAGGUAGAGAAUACCAAGGCGCUUGAGAGAACUCGGGUGAAGGAACUAGGCAAAAUGGUGCCGUAACUUCGGGAGAAGGCACGCUGACACGUAGGUGAAGUGAUUUACUCAUGGAGCUGAAGUCAGUCGAAGAUACCAGCUGGCUGCAACUGUUUAUUAAAAACACAGCACUGUGCAAACACGAAAGUGGACGUAUACGGUGUGACGCCUGCCCGGUGCCGGAAGGUUAAUUGAUGGGGUCAGCGCAAGCGAAGCUCCUGAUCGAAGCCCCGGUAAACGGCGGCCGUAACUAUAACGGUCCUAAGGUAGCGAAAUUCCUUGUCGGGUAAGUUCCGACCUGCACGAAUGGCGUAAUGAUGGCCAGGCUGUCUCCACCCGAGACUCAGUGAAAUUGAACUCGCUGUGAAGAUGCAGUGUACCCGCGGCAAGACGGAAAGACCCCGUGAACCUUUACUAUAGCUUGACACUGAACAUUGAGCCUUGAUGUGUAGGAUAGGUGGGAGGCUUUGAAGUGUGGACGCCAGUCUGCAUGGAGCCGACCUUGAAAUACCACCCUUUAAUGUUUGAUGUUCUAACGUGGACCCGUGAUCCGGGUUGCGGACAGUGUCUGGUGGGUAGUUUGACUGGGGCGGUCUCCUCCUAAAGAGUAACGGAGGAGCACGAAGGUUGGCUAAUCCUGGUCGGACAUCAGGAGGUUAGUGCAAUGGCAUAAGCCAGCUUGACUGCGAGCGUGACGGCGCGAGCAGGUGCGAAAGCAGGUCAUAGUGAUCCGGUGGUUCUGAAUGGAAGGGCCAUCGCUCAACGGAUAAAAGGUACUCCGGGGAUAACAGGCUGAUACCGCCCAAGAGUUCAUAUCGACGGCGGUGUUUGGCACCUCGAUGUCGGCUCAUCACAUCCUGGGGCUGAAGUAGGUCCCAAGGGUAUGGCUGUUCGCCAUUUAAAGUGGUACGCGAGCUGGGUUUAGAACGUCGUGAGACAGUUCGGUCCCUAUCUGCCGUGGGCGCUGGAGAACUGAGGGGGGCUGCUCCUAGUACGAGAGGACCGGAGUGGACGCAUCACUGGUGUUCGGGUUGUCAUGCCAAUGGCACUGCCCGGUAGCUAAAUGCGGAAGAGAUAAGUGCUGAAAGCAUCUAAGCACGAAACUUGCCCCGAGAUGAGUUCUCCCUGAGACUUAGAGUCUCCUGAAGGAACGUUGAAGACGACGACGUUGAUAGGCCGGGUGUGUAAGCGCAGCGAUGCGUUGAGCUAACCGGUACUAAUGAACCGUGAGGCUUAACCUU
rnacentral:rRNA from 2 species